GAACCUCUUGGGCUUAAUGAUCCUGAAAAGGAGGUUAUUCGAGAUGCUAAAAGAUUACGAGGAUCUGUGGGAUCUGCAAAGAAGUAUAACAGAAAAGCUACACCAAUAAAAAAGACAGUACAGGAACCAGUGGCAAAGAAAUCGGUACAAGAACCUGCGACAAAGAAACACGAACCUGGCACGUCGAAAAAACAGCCGGCACAAGAACCACCUGCUCCUGCACCUACACUUCCUGAAGUUUCAAAACUUGCUCCCGCACCUGUGUCGGUACCUACAAAAGCAGCUAAAUCGACAAAAGCCUCUCCAGCAUACAAAACAAAAACGAUAAAGAAAACUCCUCAGAUAA